rnacentral:rRNA from 1 species
UACGAAGGGGGCUAGCGUUGUUCGGAAUCACUGGGCGUAAAGCGCACGUAGGCGGAUCUUUAAGUCAGGGGUGAAAUCCCGAGGCUCAACCUCGGAACUGCCUUUGAUACUGGGGAUCUCGAGUCCGGGAGAGGUGAGUGGAACUGCGAGUGUAGAGGUGAAAUUCGUAGAUAUUCGCAAGAACACCAGUGGCGAAGGCGGCUGCCUGGCCUGUAACUGACGCUGAGACGCGAAAGCGUGGGGAGCGAACCGG